GGGUCGUUCGAGACCAGGACGUUGAUAGGUCAGGUGUGGAAGUGCAGUAAUGCAUUAAGCUAACUGAUACUAAUUGCCCGUAAGGCUUGUCCC
rnacentral:rRNA from 1 species